CGGGAAUACAAGCCUAUGAGAUGAAAGGGUGAAGCAAUCACAAUAAUGCCGCAAAUCAAGUGAGAAAACCAGCAGGACGCGGAUACAUAUGAGCUCAUUGUGCCGGGAUCCACCAUAUGGCGCGGACCUCCUCAUAGUUACAUUAUGGGAUUAUGGAGGACGUCUAUGCUGUCUGCCGCUUUGGACAAUAAAUACGGAGUCCCUUUCCCAUCUGCAAAACCUGCCUGGGACGUGUAUUCAUUUUGCCCUGAAAACUGUCUUAUUUGCCUUGUAACCCAACCUCUUUACAUAAAUGCAUAAGUACAUAGGCAGACCAAUGCAAAAAGAAAAAAAAUACCUGGAGCAGGAAUGUCAUAAUGUUUGGAUUUCUAUUUCUUAUUUUCGGUCAGCAGGCCAGGGCGGCUGCAGAAUAAUAGGCUUACAGGCGCAAUAAGAGAUUUCUUCCAGCUGUCUGUUUUUUCCUAAAACAGAGUGACUGCACUCUUAUGUUUCUGUGCAAAAUUCUCUUAGAUCCACGGAUUGCGUCUCUCCGUGUUCACAGCGGACCUUGAUUUAAUGUCUUACAAUUAAGGCACGCGGUGAAUGCCAAGAGAUGAUCCUCCUCUCUUCGAAAAGACAUCAUGAAAUCACUAAACUGCAUUAAAAGAAGUGUAUACUUCAUGUACUGCCUGUGCUUUUUAACAAUAAAGUGGUUACACAUUA